UGUUGUUCGUGCUCCUGAAGAUCCUAUUCUCGGGGUGACCGUUGCGUACAACAAAGAUCCGAGCCCGAACAAGUUGAAUUUGGGCGUCGGUGCUUACAGGACAGAGGAAGGGAAACCACUUGUCUUGAACGUUGUCAGGAAAGCAGAGCAUCAGCUUGUUAAUGAUAGUACACGAGUUAAGGAGUAUCUUCCGAUUGUGGGAUUGGCCGAGUUUAAUAAACAGAGUGCUAAGCUUAUUUUUGGUGCUGACAGCCCUGCUAUCCUUGAGAACCGUGUUACAACUGUUCAAUGCUUGUCUGGUACUGGAUCACUGAGGGUUGGUGGUGAAUUUUUGGCAAGACAUUAUCAUGAGCGGCUAAUAUACAUUCCCCUGCCAACAUGGGGAAACCACCCCAAAGUUUUUAGUCUGGCUGGUCUGUCUGUAAAAACUUACCGAUAUUAUGAUCCCUCAACCCGAGGGUUGGACUUUCAAGGCCUCUUGGAAGAUCUUGGUUCUGCUCCAUCUGGAGCUAUAGUUCUGCUUCAUGCCUGUGCUCAUAACCCAACUGGUGUCGAUCCAACCCUUGAACAAUGGGAUCAGAUUAGGAAGUUGAUGAGAUCAAAACAGCUUUUACCUUUCUUUGACAGUGCUUAUCAGGGUUUUGCCAGUGGAAGUUUGGAUGCGGAUGCACAACCUGUGCGCUUAUUUGUUGCUGAUGGAGGUGAAUUGUUUGUAGCCCAGAGCUAUGCAAAAAAUUUGGGGCUCUAUGGUGAACGUGUUGGGGCUUUAAGCAUUGUCUGCAAGAAUGCUGAUGUCGCAAGCAGGGUAGAGAGCCAGCUAAAACUAGUGAUAAGGCCCAUGUACUCAAACCCACCCAUUCACGGAGCAUCUAUUGUCGCUACAGUCCUGAAGGACAGGGAUUUGUUCAAUGAAUGGACUAUUGAGUUGAAGGCCAUGGCAGACCGUAUUAUUAGCAUGCGCCAGCAACUUUUUGAUGCCUUGCGCGCUAGAGGUACACCUGGUGAUUGGAGUCACAUCAUCAAACAGAUUGGAAUGUUUACUUUCACAGGAUUGAAUUCGGAACAAGUUAGCUUCAUGACCAAAGAAUAUCACAUUUACAUGACCUCUGAUGGGAGAAUCAGCAUGGCAGGUUUGAGCUCACGGACCGUACCCCACCUUGCGGAUGCAAUCCAUGCAGCCGUAACUCGUGUCGUCUAAUUUUGUCCGCAGCACGUUCCGCUCAUUACUUAUGCUUAGUUUUUUCCAUUAAAUAAAAAUUGUUGCUUACCCUUUGCUGGAAGCGAAUUGUCGUCAUUGCGAACCCUUAAAAAACUUGUUUUUUUGUAAUAUUUCGAGUAAUCAGCGCUCAU
rnacentral:misc_RNA from 1 species